UCAUCAUGCCCCUUAUGACCUGGGCUACACACGUGCUACAAUGGGCGGUACAAAGGGCUGCGAACCCGCGAGGGGGAGCGAAUCCCAAAAAGCCGCUCUCAGUUCGGAUUGCAGGCUGCAACUCGCCUGCAUGAAGCCGGAAUCGCUAGUAAUCGCGGAUCAGCAUGCCGCGGUGAAUACGUUCCCGGGCCUU
rnacentral:rRNA from 1 species